rnacentral:rRNA from 1 species
GCUAAACGCGAAGAACCUUACCUGGCCUUGACAUCUGUCGAAUCCUGCAGAGAUGCGGGAGUGCCGCAAGGAACGACAAGACAGGUGCUGCAUGGCUGUCGUCAGCUCGUGUCGUGAGAUGUUGGGUUAAGUCCCGCAACGAGCGCAACCCUUGUCCUUAGUUGCCAGCACGUAAUGGUGGGAACUCUAAGGAGACUGCCGGUGACAAACCGGAGGAAGGUGGGGAUGACGUCAAGUCCUCAUGGCCCUUACGGCCAGGGCUACACACGUACUACAAUGGUCGGUACAGAGGGUUGCGAAGCCGCGAGGUGGAGCCAAUCCCAGAAAGCCGAUCCCAGUCCGGAUUGGAGUCUGCAACUCGACUCCAUGAAGUUGGAAUCGCUAGUAAUCGCGAAUCAGCUAUGUCGCGGUGAAUACGUUCCC